GCCUGUUUGGCUAUUUCCACCGCAGUGUAAAAAGGGUUGGCUGCCGUCAUGAUGGCGCCCCGGUAAGACGCGCCAAGGAAAGUGAAGACGAACUCCGGGGAAUUGGGAAGUAAAUUCAUGACAACAUCACCCUUCUUAAUACCGAGGUUGUGUAGGCCAGCGGCGACUCGACGGGCUGUUAGCUGAACGUCAUGGUAGGUGUAAACAUCCCCGGUGGCGCCGUUGAUCAAACAUGGGCGUGAGGCAAAUUUUGAGAGAUUUUGGAAAACAUAAUCGUGAAGUGGGAGAUGAUUGGGAAUGUGAAUAUCGGGAAGCUUUGAACGGAAAAUGAAUUCAUUAGUUUGGUUUGAUUCAAAGGCCAUUGUUGAGGUUUGAAGAAAGACAGAGUAGAAACAGAGAGUAAUUAAGAGAAAAGAAGUAGAGAUGGGUUUGGUUUUGAAGAUGGAUGAAGAAGAGAGGAGAUUUUAAAGCGAUUAGAAAAUAAUAGAAAAUUAGUGUUUGGUUGGUGAGAAAUAUAAAUUAGAAUUUCUUUUUAUAUGUAUAUAAACUUAAAAUUAAGUAAAAUUUUAUUUGGUGGUGUGAGGAAAUGGAUAUUGUUAUGUUAUGAGCUCUCACCAACUCCCAAAGUUUUAAUUGAGAGUGAAGAAAUUAAGAAGAAAUUAAAAUGCAUGGAGAUUGAAGAAGUCCCCUUACAUUCACCAAACUUUUCACUAAAAAAAUGAAUUUCAACCAACCAACCAACCAACAUGCUCUACCUAUAUUCAUUUCUAUUAGGGGUAUUAUAUUAAGAAAAGGUAGUCUCAAAAUAUGAAUGUUUCUCCCUAAAACCAAUGACUAUAGUUUAACGGGAAAAAAAUUAUCUUACCCGAGUUCAAUCUCAAAUGCUUUCGAUGAAUGGUAAGUACUCAUAUAGAGAAUAGGCUGUAAUUUGGGUUGAAGAAACUUACAACUUUAACAAUAAGAUUAAGUCCAUAUAAUACUCAAACUAGAGCUCUUAGGGUUAUUAGCAAUCUCAUCGUUUUUUUUUUUUUUGCUUGUUUUAGUUGCUUCUUCCUAAGAAUAUUGUCAAGAACCCACCAACAUACAAUUGUUCAAACAUGUUUAACUUUAGAGAAAAAUAGUUGAACCAUUUAAAAGAAAUGUGUAGCUUUGCUGUUAUCUUUUACAAAAACACAUAAAAUAUAAAAAAUAUAUUUCAAGUAAUUAUUCAAACAAUGUCUAUUUACACAUCAUAAGCAUUUUAAAUAUACAAAAAAGAAAAUCUAAACUAUUUACAAAUAUAACAAAAUCUAUUAAAUUUUCUACUAUUCAUCUAAGUUUUUUAUUAAUUUGAAUUUUAAAAAAUUAGAAUAGAAAAAGAUGUUCGUAACAAUGAACGAAGUAUAAAACUUCGAUGGGUUGCCAAAAAAAUUGGGAUUUGUAGAGAGAAUUGUGACAUUUUCAUUAAUUUCAAGGCUAUGGUGGACUUUUUUUUUUCAUUCUCUUUAUGAAAAAAAUAUUUCUUUUAAUUUAUGUGGAAUGAAGAAAAAAAAAUAUUAUUUGAGAUGGUAAUCUUGUUAAUUUUCACUAACCUAUUGAUAUAUUGCUUAGUCAAUUUUAUUCAUUAUUUUUAAACAAUUUGAAAGGUUGUUGCUAAUAUUAUUUUCAUUAUCAAAUAUAUUUUAAUUAAAGAAGAAAUUAUAGAUAUAGUAAUUAAAAUAAUUAAGUCAUAAACGGGUUAUAUUUAUAAUUUUUUAAAAUAUUGAUAUAUACUUAAUUAUUAUUUCUAAAACUAAUUAAAUUAUAACUUAAUUCUUAAUAUUCUAUUUGAAGAUAGAUGAAUUUUGCUCUAUUUUAUUUUUUAAAAAAGUGUUUUCGAAGUACACAACAAAAAUUCUAAAAUAAUAACAUAUGUAAUUAAUUUUAUUUUCUUUAGAACUUUUUUUUUAAUUUGAUUAAAAUAAAAUAAAUUAUUUAAGCUUACAACUAUUGAGAAUACAAAAUGUAUUUGUGGAUCAUAGUCUCCUUCACAUGUUUUAGUUUUUUAUAUGAAAAUUUAAAGACUUUUACUCUAAGAAUCAAAUUUAAAAUGCUUAAUAAAAAGUCAAAAUGCAUUGCCAACUUUUAAAAGUAUAAAAUAAAAAAAACUUUUUAAAUAGAGAAAAGGAAGUUGAAAGAUAUUUUUUCUCGUAACUAAACAUCUCACUACCAAUAAAAAUAAAAAUGUUUACCAUCAACCGAGUAUAUACUAUUUAUAAUUAUAUAAUAGAAAAUAAACAUGUAUUGAUUCCAACUUUUCAAUUAAAUAUAUUUCCCAUCAAUCUUGUAUCUCAAUUUUUUUUUAGUUGAGUGUACUCUUUAAUAAGUUUAGGUUUAGAUCAACAUUAAUAAUGUUUAAAUGUAUAGGUUAAGGUUGAGAGACUAUUCGAUCACAUAAAAUUUGUUUUCUUUGGGUGGUCAUUUACAAGGCCAAGUUCUAUAUGACCUAAGGCUAGCAAAAAAACACAACAGGAUUGAGUCUUCGCAUGUAUCUAUCCCGAUCUGAACAAAGAAUUUUCUCUUGAUUGAGAACUAGAGAAGUAUCCCCUUCCAACCCUAAUAAUAAUAAGUAUUUUACAACUAAUUAAUUUUAGGAGAGUUAUAAAUAUAACAAUUAUAAUCAAAAUAAUUAAGUAUAUAACAACGUUUUACAAAAAUUACAAAUAUAACAAAAUUUGUCAAAGUCUAUCGACGGUAGAAGUUUAUCACUUAUAGACCAUGUUGCAAAUAUUAAUUUAUCCACUGAUAGAAUAUAAGAAUUUAUCAACGAUUAAAAGUCUAUCACUAAUAUAUUUUGCUAUAUAUAUAUACUUAAUUAUUAUUCUUUUUAACUUACCAAAAAUUAUAAUUACUCUUAAUUAUAUAAAUAUUAUUUAAAGUACCUUCCCCUCCAACUUCGAAGCCCAAACUAAACUACCCAAAUCCAAGACUCCAAGCCCAAUUACACAAAGCCUAAUCUCUUUUCACCGUUUAAUUAAGCCUAAUUUAAAAGGUCAAAUUACAAAAAUCACUUAAAUGCACCAUAUCUUUCAUGAAUAACCUAAUAUGUUAUAAUAUUACAUAAAAAUCAGUCCAUAAUAUUCUACUUAAUUUCCAACUGCCUUAAAUAGUCUUUUUUUCGAACUUUUCAAAAACAUCACUAAAAGAAAAUUUCUAUAUCCUAAUUAAUCUAACACAAUUUUUAAUUUUGACUUAUAAUUUAAAAUCUUAAAAUAUCGUGAAUUUCAUUUAAUACAUUAUUAUAACAUUAAAUCUUUGUUUUCAAAUAUAUAUUACGUUUACUUCAAAUAUAUUUAUAGAAUAUUUAUUUCAAAUAUACUUAGAAUAAUUAUAAAUUUAAAGUCGCCAAAUAAUAUAUACCAUAAAUUAUAAUUUUGCUCUAAUUUCUACUAUGAAUUUAUUUCACUUACUUUAUCACAUGUAUCAACGUAUGUUUAGUUGUUUUGAAAAUAUAUACCUUAGAUUAUACAAUAAUAAUGCUAAGACAAAUUGUAAAAUCCAACGUUAAAUCAUGAUAAUUUAAUUUCCAGAUUGAAGAGACAAAUACCAAGUAAGUCAAAGAUUAAAAUACUACCAUAUAGUCUCAAAUAUUAAUUACAAGAUACAUUGUAUUAAUUGAUGAUUCAUUUUUAAAAAAUAUUUAAUUAAAUCGACCCUCUCCUGAAGAGUUAAAUUUGAUAUGAAUUAAAUUUUUUAAAAUACAAUUAAGCUAAUUAGUUUUCUAACUCUUUGUCAUAUAUCAUCGUAAAGUGUAAUUACAAAAUCAAUCAAGUUGUAUAUACCUUGUACGUGGUAAUACAUAACCCUUGAUUUUGAUUCUCAUUACUUGCUUCUAAACAAAACAAUUUGCUUAAUGAUAAUGUGGACUACUCUACAUGUUUAAAGAUAAAAGUAAUAGAACACGAUCCCACUGUGUAUAGCUUGACUUUGAACAAAAGCUCCUAAAACUUAUAGGGUCUCUAAACAAAGAUCAUAACCUAAUUAAUUAGAAUAAUGCAAUAGAAAGUUACAAUUAUCUUUUUAAAAAAUUAAUUUGGUGGAAGAUUAGUCCAAGUUGGAAACAAGUGUGCAGUGGUUCAAAGUUUUGCUGCUGCUUCUGCUUAAUUGCUAAGUCCCUUCUUAGCAUUUCAUUAUUUUAUUUUUUUGGUUUACCCUUCUUAAUUGCUAAAUGUUUUGUCAUUUUAAAAAAUUUUAGAUUUUAGUUUUGUUGUGUUGAAGUUUCUAACUUCUUUUUAUUAUUUUGGCUCAUUGGGUGAGUUUAAUUAGUACUGUAUCUUUAAUUUUAAAUAUUUUGAUCUGAAAAUACAUUUUAUUAAUUUAUACUUUUUCUAAAUGUUAUUUUAGUUAUAAUUCUUUUGUAUUAUCAAACACCAUUCGUUUAAUAAAUACAUAGCCUUCAUUCUUACUUACCAAUGGUUUAAUUCAUGUAUAUCAUUAUAUUAUAUAGGUGCAAAUAUAUAUAUUAUGUAUUCUUAACGUUAUAUUAUUCAAAAUCCUCUCUUAUUAUUACUAAUCAAGUGUGUGUCAAAAUGUAGAUACGUGACUAAAACCAAAUUAAAUAAGUACAACAAUGAAUACAAAGUAUCUAUACUCUUUAUUAUUAUUAAUCAAGUGUGUGUGUCAAAAUGUAGAUACGUGACUAAGACCAAAUUAAAUAAGCUAUUUUUAAAUAAGUAUAAGAAUGAAUACCAAUUAUUUAUAAGAUAGAGUGAAAUAUCACCAAAAAAAAGUUUAUUUUAAACUUAAGCAAUAUUUUUAAUUAUGUGUGAGAAAAAAUAGGAUAAAACGAAACAAAAAAAACUUUAGAAAGAAAUCAACAAAAACUAAUAAUUUAAGCUAAAGAGUGGACGGUUGGCUGACCUUAUAGAUGAAAGAAGUUAGAUAUAUUAAAAUUUUAUAUCUACAUGUUAGUUAUAUUACUCAUUAAGAACAUGCAUAUUAUUAAAUUUAUGAUUUUAAUACUUUAUUAACUAUUGAUUUUGGUUGAUAUAUUUCUUUAAUUUUACUUGAUUAGUUUUGUUGAGAUUAUUAGUUACUUUUUUUGAUCUAGAUCAGAUAUAGGAUUAACUCCAUUUUCUUUAUUUAGGUUAUGAUUACUAAAUCUAAUUUAUUGAUUAAAGUUGAAAGCAAUAAUUUAUCAAUACUUUUUUGACUAAAUUUUUACCCUGCCUAAAUUCACUUCACUAAUCUCCUCUCUAAUCCUUGCUUUUGCAUGUCAGUAUUUUCUAAACCUUCUUAGCAUUUUAAUUUUUUUCUUUCAAAUAAUUAAAUGAUAUAUAAAUAAAUUUGCUAAAAGCUUAUAUAAUUUCAUUUACAUUUAUCUUAAACUUUUAGGACGUACAUUCGUGAUUUAGGAUUUAGUAAUUGAAUGGUACUUAAUAUGUAUUUAAAUAAUCUUGGAUGUAAUACAUAUCAAAUAUGAAAUAGUAUAUAAUCUUAAUACUAUUGACAACAAAGAAAGAAAUUGGUUGUCUAAUUGUAAGCACCCGAAGCAAGUUUUGCUCUGAGUUCCUUUCUAAGGAUUUUGCCUGACGGAGCCUUUGGAAUAGCAUUAACGAAAAACACACGUUUUAGUCUUUUGUAGAAAACAACUUGUUUUGCUAUAAAUUGCUUUACUUCUUCCUCGCUUAUUGCACCGCCGUUCGCCUUCAUCACAAACGCCACCGGCACUUCUCCCGCCUCCACAUCCGGCAUACUAAAGAAUAAUAAGAAAAAUAAAAUUUGAUCAGAAAUGAAACUCCCACAAAGAUUUUUUUUAGCUAAAACAAAUAGUUAAAUUCAUUUGAACUCACCCAAUGACGGCAGCAUCAGAUAGUUUAGGAUGUGUGAUAAGAAGGGCCUCAAGCUCAGCAGGAGCCACUUGAAAUGCCUUGAAUUUUAUUAGUUCCUUAAGCCGAUCAACGAUGAAGAGCUCGUUGUCGUCGUCGACAAAGCCAAUGUCGCCGGUGUGAAGCCAUCCUUCUUUAUCAAUAGUCCUCUUUGUUGACUCCAAAUCAUUCAAAUAUCCUUUCAUGAUUUGAUCACCUCUAAUACAAAUUUCUCCGGAGGAAUUCGCCGGCAAUGAGGCGCCGGUUUCGGUGUCAACAAUCUUCAUCUCUGCAUUGCGGACCACAGUUCCGCAGGCUCCGGCUUUUACUUGGAACGGUUCUUUCGCAAAAGCUAAGCUCAUGGAUAGAACUGGACCGGCCUCGGUCAUUCCAUACCCUUGUCCGAGAAUCGCCGUUGGAAAUUUCUCCCUCACGGCAUCUUCCAACUCCUUCCCUAGUGGAGCUCCACCAGAUUUUAGAACCCUCACGGACGACACGUCGUACUUUUCAAAUUCUGGGGACUUAGCGAUGGCCAAAAAGAUUGGCGGCACGAUGGGCAUGAUCGAGAUUCUAUGUUUCUCAAUCAAUUGUAAAAGUGCAACGAUGUCAAAUUUUUGCAUAAUCAUAAUGGCAGCGCCGACUCGUAGUCCACACAGCAAAAUCGAAUUGAGUGAAUAGAUAUGGAAAAACGGCAGCACACAGAGGAUAACAUCGUUUCUGUGAUAAUAGAGAUUUGGAUUUUGGCCAUCCAUUUGUUGCGCUACACUUGUGAUUAACCCUUUAUGUGUCAGCAUAACUCCUUUCGGCAAACCGGUAGUGCCAGAGGAGUACGGUAAUGCCACCACGUCAUUAGAGGAAAAAUCCACCAACGGCGCAAGAGAUUCAUCAGCCCCACUCAAAACAGAAAAAUGCAAACAACCCUCUACAGCAAAAUCAACACAAACAAUUUGAACACCGUUUUCAGCCAAAUCCUUAACCCGAUCGUAAAAACAAGCCAUUGUCACUAUCAAUUUCGCAUUGGCAGCUUUGGCCUGUUUAGCAAUUUCCACAGCCGUGUAAAAAGGAUUGGCUGCUGUCAUGAUGGCGCCCCGGUAAGACGCGCCAAGGAAGGUGAAGACAAACUCCGGGGAAUUGGGAAGUAAAUUCAUGACAACAUCACCCUUCUUAAUACCAAGGUUGUGUAGGCCAGCGGCGACUCGACGGGCUGUUAGCUGAACGUCAUGGUAGGUGUAAACAUCCCCGGUGGCACCGUUGAUCAAACAGGGGCGUGAGGCGAAUUUGGAGAGAUUUUGGAAUACAUAGUCGUGGAGUGGAAGAUGAUUGGGAAUGUGAAUAUCGGGAAGCUUUGAACGGAAAAUGAAUUCAUUGGUUUCGUUUGAUUCGAAGGCCAUUGUUGUGACGUUAAAUUUUGAGCUUCAAGUAAAACAGAGUACAAACAGAGAGAAGAGAAAAUGUAGAGAUGGGUUUGGUUUGAAUUUGAAUAAAGAAGAGAAGGGAUUUUAUAGAGAUUAGAAAAUAAUAGAAAAUAAGUGUUUGGUUGGUGUGAAAGAUAAAUUGGAUGUGAUGUGAGGUCUGAGAAAAUAGGUAUUCCAUUUGGUUUGGUGGUCAGAUGAGAUGUGAGGUCUGAGAAAAUGGGUAUUCCUCUGAGUUCUCACCAACCCCCAAAGUGUUUGACUAUGAAGGAGAGAAGGAGAAAUUAUGGACUAUAACGACUAUCAUCUCUUUCAUUCACCAACUUUUAAAGCAAGAAUUUCAACCUUUACCUUGUCCUCCACUUAUUGAACCCAUAAUCCAAUCUCUCACACCUAUAAUGAAUUUAUAUCAAUUAUCAUUCAUCUAAGUCACCUUAUCUAAAAAGAUGUUAAUAUCUUUUUCUCUCUAGCAUCAAUGACCACACAUGUGAUUGCAAAAUAUAUUUUGGUUAACUCAUAUAUUUAGUUCUUAAAACUCCAUUUUAUAAUAAAACAGUAAGGUUCCAAAAAAAAAAAAAAUCAUACUUCAUUAUUGUUAUUGAUAUUGCUAUCACCCAAACAAAAUGGUAAAGUCAGUAUCUAUAAUCUUACCAAAUAUAAUAUCAACCAUCAUGGAUUGACUUAGUAGUAAAAAGUGAGAAUAUUGAAAUAAACAUCAUGACAAAUCUUGAAAAGUUUUAAAAUGUUCACACAUCAAGACUAGUAAUUCUUGUAAACAAUCAAAUUACAUCUAUUUUUUUUUUGUGAAGCCCACAUUUUAUUAUGAAAUAAUAAAUAACAAUAAAUAUAAUAGUUAAUUAGUUAUUAAACAAAAUUUAAAGUUAAAUGGUUUAUUUGAUACCAACUUAAAAAUUUAACACCAACCCCUUCCAAUUUAUAAAACAAGGUUGUUAUUGAAUGCAUGGGUCAAGGUCAAGAGUGUACACCCAACAGAUCUAAUUUUAAAGUUUUGUCCUUAGUAUUUGAAUUUUUUAAAGAUUUCUAUAGAUUAAAAAAUGCCUAUUAACAGUGGAAGAAAUUGUAAACAAACAAAAGAGGAAAAAAGAAAACCAAGAAGAUCGAGAGUCUGAGUAGGAAACAAAAUUAUAGUACUCAAAGUUUAAAAAGAUAGAUAUGAUUUUAUUUAAACUAUGUGAUGUGACUAACAAUGGAGAGAAUAAAGUAAAAAGGAAAAAAAGUUGAUAAAGUAAUUAGAAUGGUGAAGAAAAUAAUUGAAUUUAAUAACGUAGGUGGAGGGGAAUAGUCAAAGUUAGAAACAUUGGGUCGUUCAAAGUUUUGAUGCUUGGUAUAGUGAAUUUGUGCUCGUGCUUGUGGUUCGCCAGUUGCCAUGAGCCUUCCCACGUUUGUUUUACAUUCUACAAUUUUCUUUAUAUAUUUUAACGGAUGUUUUUUAAAUUAACUUACUUAUAAAUAUACAGAAUAAUUUAAAAAAAUAAUAUUUUUAAAUUAAUAAAAUAAACCAAAAUAUUUACAAGCUUUACAAAAAAUUAUGAAUUCUAUGAUAAUAAUUAAUAAACUCAUAUAACCGGUUAUGUCUGCUAUUGAUAUAAUUUUAAAAAUUUUGUUAUAUAUAUAAUCUUUCAUUAAAUUUGCUAUUUUUGAUAAUUUCUUUUUAAAAGUUUUAUUUUUAAAAAAAUUAAAAGAAGUUGGGUACCCUCCAACAUUUAUUAUAUUAUUAUUGUUUUGAAAAAGGAGAGUAGAUGUAUAUAUUUAACCAUUAUUGAAAAAAAUCAAAACUUUAUUAUUUUUUAAAAAAAGUAUAAUUUAUUUCAAAAGUUAUGAUUUAAUGUUGAAUUUCUGUAAAUAAUUCAAAAUGCAUAUACUAAAUAGAAAUUCUAUAAAAAAAAAUAAUAAUAAUUAAGUGAAGUUCAAGUUUUGGUGAUCUAAAACAAUCUAGAUUUCUUAAAAAUAUAUUAUGGCAAAAGAAAAAAAAUGAAGUUUAUAAAUGAGAAGAAAUAGAAAUAAAAAUUGUAAAUUUGUAACUGAUUCUUAUGGUACAGUUUAAUUUGCAAUUAAAUAAAAAAAAAUUGUGCGUAUUUAAAUUAGUUGAGUGUAUAUUUAAAAAAAUAAAAAAUAUUAAAAUAAUUGAUUUUGCUUCUAAUUUGGCGGCAUGAUUAAUAACAAAAUUUAAAUUUGGCCAAAGAAAAAAAGUUAUCAAAAAUAAUUUAUUACGCAUUAAUUAGAAAAAUCUUGUAAGUAAAAGCUUUUCUUGUGAGGUAUAUUAAAUUUUUUUAGUUUAACAGUUUUAAUUUUUGGAGUUUCAGGAGAUGGGUGGCGAGAUGUUUGUGAGAUAAAAAAUUGAUGUUUUAAAUCAUUGUAAAAUAUCUUUAAAAUACAGAUAACAUUGAUUUGAAAUUUAAAAUAUCUUUAAAAUACUAAAAAGUUCAUAACAUUAUUUAGUUUUGAAGUUCCUAGAUAUUUGUGAGAUAGAAAAAAGUGGUUAAAAAACUACUUAAAACAUCCAUCAAAUCACCUAAAAUAAGUAUAAAAUUGAUUUGAAGUAUGGUAUUUCAAAUUUUGAAAUCGCACCAAACCUAAAUAAAAAGUCAUAGCUAACAAAUUUCUUUACACAUUUUCAACUUAAUUGGACACAAAAUAAUGAUGUAAUAUAUAUUAAAAGUAGAAAAACUAAUUAAGAAUAUGAAAAAUGUAUUUUGGAUACACAACCCACAAGCUGACUCAAACUUUAGUUGCGGGGAAGCACACAUCUAUUCACACAUCCCACCAACCAAUUCGACGAAAAAUAAUUAUGAACAAUAUUAUAUACAUAACAUAUUCAAAUUAAAUUACAAUUGAGGCUUCACGUGAAAUUUUGUUGAUACACAUUCCAUAAAGACCCUAAACUUUAGUUCGGAUGAAAUUGUUGCUGCUGUCCAAGUCGUCCAAAUAGAUAUCGUUGUUGUUGCUGCUGCUACCCAAGUCACCGCCCUCCACCUAAUGGAUUGCUCCGUUUGUUGGUUGCGGGUUGUUCAUCGUUGUGCAAAUGGGAGUUACCUCCGAGAGGUCACCAUGGUGGAAUAAUUAAUAUAUAUAUUUGCCUCUGAAAUUAUAUAAUUCAGAUUUAAUUAUUUCAAUAAUAUACAAACUAACAACAAAUUGCCUCUUCCGAAUUUUAAAAGUAAUACACACAAAUCAACAAAUUUGAUUUAUAGAAAUGAAAUUAAAAGAUGGCAACGAGAGGAUAGAAAUUAGAUUUAACUUGCUAUCUAUUAAUUAGGAACGGAUUUAUUAAGGAGUGAAAGGUGCGUGUUUCUCACAUUCUCAAUUUUUAUAUUUUAAUAUUAAUUUGAAGUGUUAGAUUACCAUAUAUAUAUAUAUUAAAUAACGUUUUAUUACUAUUAAUUUAUGUCUCAUAUAUAUAGUGGCUUUGCUCUCCUUCAACGACCUACGAUUUUCCUUUUUUAUAGAAUGUUUGGUACGUAUGAUUUCUCAAUUUUAUUAAUAUUAUUCUUUUUCACCGCUUUUUAAUUAUAUAGGAAAAGUAUUAAUUCACAUCAAACAAAUGCUAGAGAAACAAAACCUAACACAUGUUUUCAACUAAAAGGUAAUCUUGAUUGGAUCUCCAUUAUAAAUUGUAUUAUAUGUAUAUAUAAAAAAAAACAAUCUAUAACUUUGCUUAAAGAGAGUGUCUUUUCAUAUGUUUUCAAUUUGUCUACAUCUAUAAUCAAUUUCCGUUCUAUAUUCUUUGUAAAAAUACAAAUGUGGAAGAAAUAUAAUAAAUUUCCCUAACAUCAAAAUAAACUGAUUUGAUAUCAUUAAAAAAGAUUGAGAUCCAAACCUACAAAAUUCAAACAAGCAUUUUCAAUCAACAAAAAAAAAUUGUAAUAUGAUAAAAGAAACGGUGAAUCCAAAUAGAAGCGACAAAGGAAACUCCCACCACAUACCACAUAAAUAAAAACUAGGAUGAACUGAUUUGGAUUAACUCUUUGAAAUACUUUCUUUUGAGAUUUUUUUAUUCGAUAAUUUAUUUAUAUUUUACGAUUAAAAAAUAACUAAGUCAAUCUUAAAAACUAAGAAAAGUAACUUCCAAAAAACUAUUUUUAUUUUUAAAAUUUGACUGUUGUUUUCAAAAUAGACUUAAUUUUUAAAAGCAAAACAGAACUUGAAAUAAAUAGUAUAUUACCACUAACCAUAUUCAACUUAUAUAAAAAAAAGGACUAAAUUACAAAAUUUGAUAUGAAUUUUACUUUUAAUAUACAUGUAUAAAAAAGAUCUUUCAAAACAAAUUUAUGCGUUUAAAUUUUGUAAUCCUUAGAACGUACAAGGCAUAACAACCAAAAAUAAUUUUAGAUUCUAUUAUAUUGAUAGAUAUUAAUAUGCUUAUAUUGAAUAGAUAAUGAUAGAAGUUCCUAUUAUUUGUAGAAUCCAAUUUUUUUUUAUAGUUUGUAAAUAUUUCACUAUAUUUGAAUUUUUUUUCUUAACUUAUAACAAUUUUUGUAAUUUAAUCUUCAAAUACUAAAUAGAAAAAUAAUUUAUAAAUAUGAUAAAAUUAAUUUUUCUUUCCACAGCUAAUAAACCAUGAAAGAUUAGUAUAGAGAUACUUUAACCUCUAUAUUUAAAAAUAUUUUGAACCAUUUUAUUGUAUUUAAAAACAGCUUUAUAAAUAUAUAAUUUAAAAGGAAUAUAUCAAAAAUAAAUGGAAAAUAUGGUACGGUCCAAUAGAAAGUUUUGUGAAAAGAUUCCCACUUAUUUAUAUUUUUUUCUUUUAGAAAAAUCCCCAAUUAUUUAUCUCACCAACAAAGCACAAAAUUGGUAUCAUUUUCUCUUCUCUGUAAAAUCCCUUCUUCUUUCUAUCUUCACACCAAACUCAUCUCUACUCUUUCUCAAACCUCAACAAUGGCCUUUCAAUCAAACCAAACUCGUUCAAAGCUUCCCGACAUUCACAUUCAAAUUCCCAAUCAUCUCCCACUUCACCAAUACGUUUUUCCAAAAUUUGCCUCCCGCCCCUGUUUGAUCAACGCAUGAUGUUCAGCUAACAGCCCGACGAGUCGCCGCUGGCCUACACAACAUCGUCGGUAUUAAGAAGGGUGAUGUUGUCAUGAGUUUACUUCCUAAUUCCCCCAGAUUAUGUCUUCACCUUCCUUGGCGCGUCUUACCGGGGCUCCAUCAUGACAGCAGCCAUUCCUUUUUACACGGCUGUGGAAAUUGAUUAUAGAUAUAGACAAAUUGAAAGUAUAUGAAAAUAAGAACGAAGUAUAAAUUAUUUUUACAAGAAAAUAUAUGAAAAAUAAAAAAUUAUCUUUUAUCUGUCUAAUAAAAAUAAAUAUCUUAAUUUGGAUUAUUUAUUAACUUAUUAUUUUUUUAACCCUAACAAAUAUUAUGGUUUGGGAUUUCUUGCCCAAAAUAAGUUUAAAUAAUUAGUUUGAUAGAACAAAUUUAUUUAUUUUUAAAAAAUGACAAAAAAAAAAGUCCACGUAUUUGUGAUACCAAUACACACAAUACACUACCAAUAUAUAUUUACACUUUAUAUUCUUCUGAUAAGCACUUGAUAUACGUUAUAUACACAUACACAUUUGAUACACACUUUAUAUACAAAAUAUUAGAAUUUAUGAUAAAGAUUUUGAAUUUUUGUUAAAGGUUGGUAAACUACAACACAUACUAUUAUAAUCUAAACCAAAAUAAUCUAUAACCCAAAUACAAACUAUUAUAAUCCAACUAUAAUAACUCAAGGAUUACAAUAACUCACUUUUUGCCUCAAAUGCUCGUAAAAAAUUUGAUAAAUAUAACUCAUUUAGAAUAAUAUCACAUUGUUUUAUUUACCAAAAUGUCACAUUGUUUUAUUUACGAAAAUGUUAUUAGUUCUACAAAUGAUUUUAGUCAAUAACUAAACACUUGGUAGUUGGUAUUAAAUUUAAUAUUCCUGAAUAAUACAUAUCAAAUGUAAUGGAAUACAAAAUUAAAUUUUUGAGGUGAAAAAAAUGCUAAGUUUACAAGGGUGAUAAUAGAGGAGCAAUUUAGGGUUUUAAUUGUAAGCACCGGAAGCUAAUUUUGCUCUAAGUUCUUUUCUAAGGAUUUUGCCGGAAGGAGCUUUUGGAAUAGCAUUAACGAAAAACACACGUUUUAGUCUUUUGUAAAAAACAACUUGUUUUGUUAUGAAUUGCUUUACUUCUUCCUCGGUUAUUGCACCGCCGUUCGCCUUCACCACAAACGCCACCGGCACUUCUCCCGCCUCUACAUCCGGCAUACUAAAAAACAAUAAGAAAAAUAAAAUUGGAUUAGAAAUGAAACUCCCACAAAUAUUUUUUAGCGAAAACAAAGAGCGAAAUUCAUUUGAACUCACCCAAUAACAGCAGCAUCAGAUAGUUUAGGAUGUGUGAUAAGAAGAGCCUCUAGUUCAGCAGGAGCCACUUGAAAGGCCUUGAAUUUGAUAAGCUCUUUAAGUCGGUCGACGAUGAAGAGCUCGUCAUCGUCGUCCACGAAGCCGAUGUCACCCGUGUGAAGCCAUCCUUCUUUGUCAACAGUCCUCUUCGUUGACUCCAAAUCAUUCAAAUAUCCUUUCAUGAUUUGAUCACCUCUAAUACAAAUUUCUCCGGAGGAAUUCGCCGGCAAUGAGGCGCCGGUUUCGGUGUCAACAAUCUUCAUCUCUGCAUUGCGGACCACUGUUCCACAUGCUCCUGCUUUUACUUGAAAUGGUUCUUUUGCAAAAGCCAAACUCAUGGAUAGAACGGGACCAGCCUCGGUCAUUCCAUACCCCUGUCCUAGAACCGCCAUCGGAAAUUUCUCCCUCACGGCAUCUUCCAAUUCCUUCCCCAGUGGAGCUCCACCGGAUUUGAGAACCCUCACGGACGACACGUCGUAUUUCUCAAAUUCCGGUGACUUAGCAAUGGCCAAAAAGAUCGGCGGCACAAUUGGCAUUAUGGAAAUUCUGUGUUUCUCAAUCAAUUGUAGGAGCGAAACAAUGUCAAAUUUCUGCAUUAUUAAAAUCGCAGCGCCAACUCGUAGACCACACAACAAAAUUGAAUUGAGUGAAUAGAUAUGAAAAAACGGCAACACAGAGAGGAUGACAUCAUCGGCAUGAUAAUAGAGGUUCGGAUUUUCGCCGUCCAUUUGUUGAGCGACACUUGUGAUUAACCCUUUAUGCGUCAACAUCACUCCCUUCGGCAAACCGGUAGUGCCGGAGGAAUACGGCAACGCCACCACGUCAUUAGAGGAAAAAUCCACCAACGGCGCAAGAGAUUCAUCAGCCCCACUCAAAACAGAAAAAUGCAAACAACCCUCUACAGCAAAAUCAACACAAACAACUUGAACACCGUUUUCAGCCAAAUCCUUAACCCGAUCGUAAAAACAAGCCAUUGUCACUAUCAAUUUCGCAUUGGCAGCUUUGGCCUGUUUAGCAAUUUCCACAGCCGUGUAAAAAGGAUUGGCUGCUGUCAUGAUGGCGCCCCGGUAAGACGCACCAAGGAAGGUGAAGACAAACUCCGGGGAAUUGGGAAGUAAAUUCAUGACAACAUCACCCUUCUUAAUACCGAGGUUGUGUAAGCCAGCGGCGACUCGACGGGCUGUUAGCUGAACGUCAUGGUAGGUGUAAACAUCCCCGGUGGCGCCAUUGAUCAAACAGGGGCGUGAGGCGAACUUGGAGAGAUUUUGGAAAACAUAAUCGUGGAGUGGGAGGUGAUUGGGAAUGUGAAUAUCGGGAAGCUUUGAACGGAAAAUGAAUUCAUUAGUUUCGUUUGAUUCAAAGGCCAUUGUUGAG
rnacentral:lncRNA from 1 species